rnacentral:ncRNA from 2 species
AAAUGUCUUUGGGGCGGGGUGCAAUUCCCCACCGGCGGUUAUGCGGCCUUUGCGCCGACGAGCCCGCGAGCAGUUUUUGUUGACACGGUGCGAUUCCGUGGCCGACGGUACAGUCCGGAUGAAAAAAGACGCAU